UAAAAACCCCGACUUCGGAAGGGGUGUAUUUAUUAGAUACAAAACCAAUGCCCUUCGGGGCUCUUUGGUGAUUCAUGAUAACUAUACGAAUCGCACGGCCUUGCGCCGGCGAUGGUUCAUUCAAAUUUCUUCCCUAUCAACUUUCGAUGUUUGGGUAUUGGCCAAACAUGGUUGCAACGGGUAACGGAGGGUUAGGGCUCGACCCCGGAGAAGGAGCCUGAGAAACGGCUACUACAUCCAAGGAAGGCAGCAGGCGCGCAAAUUACCCAAUCCCGACUCGGGGAGGUAGUGACAAUAAAUACUGAUACAGGGCCCUUUCGGGCCUUGUAAUUGGAAUGAGUACAAUUUAAAUCCCUUAACGAGGAACAAUUGGAGGGCAAGUCUGGUGCCAGCAGCCGCGGUAAUUCCAGCUCCAAUAGCGUAUAUUAAAGUUGUUGUGGUUAAAAAGCUCGUAGUUGAACCUUGGGCCUGGCUGGCCGGUCCGCCUCACCGCGUGCACUGGUCCGGCCGGGCCUUUCCCUCUGUGGAACCCCACACCCUUCACUGGGCGUGGCGGGGAAACAGGACAUUUACUUU
rnacentral:rRNA from 1 species